rnacentral:sRNA from 1 species
UGGCGACGUUGCAACAUAAGAAUUGCAGAGAGGUGUAAUCCCAGUAGAAGACUGAAUCGAGAGACUCAAAAAGGAAGUUAUGGCUUCUCAGAAUGCUGUUUUUUCUCAGGAGGGGAACAUGGAGGAGAAAGAAAUGAAUGAUGGCUCACAGAUGGUGAGAUCUCAGGAAUCACUGACGUUUCAGGAUGUGGCCGUGGACUUCACCAGAGAGGAGUGGGACCAGCUGUACCCUGCCCAGAAGAACCUCUAUCGAGACGUGAUGCUGGAGAACUACAGGAAUCUAGUUGCACUGGGGUAUCAGCUUUACAAGCCAGAGGUAAUCGCGCAGUUGGAGCUAGAGGAAGAAUGGGUGAUAGAAAGAGACAGCCUGCUGGACACUCAUCUGGCCUAAUUUCUAAUUCUCUUGCUCUCCUUUGUGAUAUGACCCCGAUUCCUACCUCUACUACUAAUAUUUUUUUCUUGGAGAUUACCACUAAUUUCCUUCCAGUUAAAUCCAGUGGCUACAAAGCCAGUUAGGAUUGUGUUGACUUUCCCUUC